rnacentral:rRNA from 1 species
GACGAACGCUGGCGGCGUGCUUAACACAUGCAAGUCGAACGAUGAAGCCUAGCUUGCUAGGUGGAUUAGUGGCGAACGGGUGAGUAAUACGUGAGUGACCUACCUUUGACUCUGGGAUAAGCCUGGGAAACUGGGUCUAAUACCGGAUACGACCAAUCUCCGCAUGGGGUGUUGGUGGAAAGCGUUAUGGAGUGGUUUUAGAUGGGCUCACGGCCUAUCAGCUUGUUGGUGAGGUAAUGGCUUACCAAGGCGACGACGGGUAGCCGGCCUGAGAGGGUGACCGGCCACACUGGGACUGAGACACGGCCCAGACUCCUACGGGAGGCAGCAGUGGGGAAUAUUGCACAAUGGGCGCAAGCCUGAUGCAGCGACGCCGCGUGAGGGAUGACGGCCUUCGGGUUGUAAACCUCUGUUAGCAUCGAAGAAGCGAAAGUGACGGAGGGCAGAAAAGCGCCGCA